UCUCAAGAGUGUUCAACAGCAGAGGUGAAACUGAAAGUUAACUCCAUCAAGAGCAGCGCUGGUUAACCAAGUACAAGGCAUCUAAUGUGAAACGUUGAAAUCAUCACUGAACAUGAGUUCAGCUGAGAGAGCAGCCUGUCUCUUCCCCUCACAUUGGCAGCUUGACAUUAUCAGGAAAU
rnacentral:lncRNA from 1 species